rnacentral:rRNA from 1 species
UACAGAGACUGCAAGCGUUAUUCGGAUUCACUGGGCGUAAAGGGUGCGCAGGUGGCCAAGUGUGUUAGGCGUGAAAGCCCGGGGCUUAACCCCGGAAUUGCACCUAAAACUACUUGGCUAGAGCAUUGGAGAGGGGAGCAGAAUUCACGGUGUAGCAGUGAAAUGCGUAGAUAUCGUGAGGAAUACCAGAGGCGAAGGCGGCUCCCUGGACAAUUGCUGACACUCAGGCACGAAAGCGUGGGGAGCGAACAGG